CCAUCCAUAAUAUGGCUCCAUCAUAAUCUACUCUAGUGUACUUGUGCAGUCUGGAAGACCCAUUGUGUGGCCUAUGCAUUUAUCUCUGAGACAGUACUGCCCCCAUCAAAUGUGUGGGAAAGAUAUCAUGUGAUAUGAAAAGACUCUAAUAACUGAAGGUGAAUAUCAUACUAAGACAGUCUCGGGUAUGGAAAGGAUUUAUUGGCAAUUGAGGGUACAGCCAACGGCAAGCUUAGGCGGUACAUGAUAUCUUACCCAGUAAUAUUUCAUGGCAAUUGAGGGUCGAGAGAUCCCCUCUUACUCAGUAAUAUCGAUUUCAUCCACUAUAACGAUUGAUGUUCUUGUUUUUUCUUAAAAAUAAAAAACAAAUGAAAUACUGAAUUAGUUUAAAAAACAACAAUAAAU
rnacentral:sRNA from 1 species